rnacentral:rRNA from 1 species
CUCGUCGCAUCCUGGGGCUGGAGAAGGUCCCAAGGGUUGGGCUGUUCGCCCAUUAAAGCGGCACGUGAGCUGGGUUCAGAACGUCGCAAGACAGUUCGGUCCCUAUCUGUUGUGGGCGCUAGAUGAUUGAGAGGACCUGCCACCAGUACGAGAGGACCGUGGUGGACGGACCGCUUGUGUAUCGGUUGUGCCGCCAGGUGCAGCGCCGAGUAGCAAUGUCCGGCAGGGAUAAGCGCUGAAAGCAUCUAAGCGCGAAGCCCACCUCAAGAUGAAUCAUCUUUUAAGGGCCGCAGGAGACUACUGCGUCGAUAGGAGGCCGGUGAAAGCACAGCAAUGUGUGCAGCCUAGCCUUACUAAUUGCCCGUUAACUUCCUUUU